GUCCUUAGUUACCAGCACGUUAUGGUGGGCACUCUAAGGAGAUUGCCGGUGACAACCGGAGGAAGGUGGGGAGUGACGUCAAGUCAUCAUGGCCCUUACGGCCUGGGCUACACACGUGCUACAAUGGUCGGUACAAAGGGUUGCCAAGACCGCGAGGUGGAGCUAAUCCCAUAAAACCGAUCGUAGUCCGGAUCGCAGUCUGCAACUCGACUGCGUGAAGUCGGAAUCGCUAGUAAUCGUGAAUCAGAAUGUCACGGUGAAUACGUUCCCGGGCCUU
rnacentral:rRNA from 1 species